rnacentral:rRNA from 1 species
UACAGAGGGUGCGAGCGUUGUCCGGAAUCACUGGGCGUAAAGGGCGCGUAGGCGGCUCAUGAAGGCUGUGGUGAAAGUCCGGGGCUCAACCUCGGAUCGGCCGUGGCGACUCGUGGGCUGGAGCACUGUAGAGGCGGGUGGAAUUCCGGGUGUAGCGGUGGAAUGCGUAGAGAUCCGGAAGAACACCAGUGGCGAAGGCGGCCCGCUGGGCAGUGGCUGACGCUGAGGCGCGACAGCGUGGGGAGCA